UACGUAGGUGGCAAGCGUUGUCCGGAAUUAUUGGGCGUAAAGCGCGCGCAGGCGGUCCUUUAAGUCUGAUGUGAAAGCCCACGGCUCAACCGUGGAGGGUCAUUGGAAUCUGGGGGACUUGAGUGCAGAAGAGGAAAGCGGAAUUCCACGUGUAGCGGUGAAAUGCGUAGAGAUGUGGAGGAACACCAGUGGCGAAGGCGGCUUUCUGGUCUGUAACUGACGCUGAGGCGCGAAAGCGUGGGGAGCAAACAGG
rnacentral:rRNA from 1 species